rnacentral:rRNA from 1 species
AGCAGCCGCGGUAAUUCCAGCUCCAAUAGCGCAUAUUAAAGUUGUUGCAGUUAAAAAGCUCGUAGUUGAAUUUCGGGGUUAGUACGCUGGUCGUGCCUUCGGUAUGUACUGGUGUUACUGAUUCCUACCUUCUGACGAACCGUCAUGUCAUUCAUUUGGUGUGGCGGGGAAUCAGGACUGUUACUUUGAAAAAAUUAGAGUGUUUAAAGCAGGCUCGCGCUUGAAUACAUUAGCAUGGAAUAAUGAAAUAGGACGUUCGAUCCUAUUUUGUUGGUUUCUAGGAUUGACGUAAUGAUUAAUAGGGAUAGUUGGGGGCAUUAGUAUUCAAUUGUCAGAGGUGAAAUUCUUGGAUUUAUUGAAGACUAACUACUGCGAAAGCAUUUGCCAAGGAUGUUUUCAUUAAUCAAGAACGAAAGUUAGGGGAUCGAAGACGAUCAGAUACCGUCGUAG